rnacentral:lncRNA from 10 species
UAUGGUUGUUUUCCUGAUUAUAUAUCUAUUGUUCCUUGAAAAUAUUUUCUGCAACAUCUUUCCAUUCAGCCAAAAGCAAAAUUGCCUAUUCAUGUCCUGCCCAGAAGUCAAAGUAGCAGAAGAUUCCACUUCUGAGCAUUAUGAUCCCUCAGCUCACAGAGCCUAACAUGGCAGAGAUAGAAGACGCAGCUUCUCCAAGUCAGUGAAUGGGAGUAAUGGUAAGUAAGGCCAUUUUUACCUCUAUCCCUUGAUGCCUGGACUCCAUAGUCUCCUUUUUAAAAUACAGAUCUGUCCUGAAAAUUGGUGCUUCUUCUAAGCUGGCACCUCAACUAUGCUAACCACAGGCCCUCUGUUGUUCUAUUAUGCGAGCAACUUCUGGAUGGUGAGG